rnacentral:lncRNA from 1 species
CACCUUCAUACCAUAGUGAGCCAUCAGAAUAGGACUUCUGUGAAGGCCAAAUUAUAUGCUACAUAACAUGUGUUAAUUAUAUGUUAUAGAACAUACAACUAAAGCAUAUCCUGUAUGUUACAGAAGGACAUUUGGUCUUUCCUUCUGAAUUGGUGCUUGAGUUUACAGUAGGUAAAUGGGAAAGAGGAACGGAUGCCAAGCAUCCUUAUCUAAGGAAUGGAUUUCCUGGGCUGAUCCUCAUUCCUGGCAUUGUUGGAGAAGAUGAAGUGGAAGGUUGUCAACAGGGUUGUAUAUGCCCAUCAUGCAAAAUGGAAACAGUAAUACCUGCAGCACCUGCUUUCCGGUGAUCACGGUGAUCCGCUGACAAUGCACAGGAACCAUGCUGCUGCCGCCUCUCACGUGUCACUGGAGGCUGCACAAAUGUCAGUGAUCCAGCUGACAGAGGCCAAGGCAGAGACAGGAGCACUCUCACAAGUGUUGCCUUCCUAGUGAAUUGGUCAUCAUGUGAUCUGAUACGAGAGUUAAACUGUGAUUUGACAUGCUAUUGAAAAUGUCCUCUCUCAAGGAGUGCUGAAAGAAUUUCCUCUAUUUAUUGAAUGCUGGACAAAUACAAGAAUCCAUUUCAGUUCUGUGACUAAGGACGGAUAAGAUGACCGAGGCCUGAAAUUGUGGAUGAUGGGGGCUACUUCAGCCUGCCACUUCUAUGCCUACGGCGGAUCAAGAGGCUCAAUGAAUUUAAGUAAUCGUAGUCUCGGAGAUAUAAGGAGAAGGCGGUAGAAUGAAUAUGACCUCACUCUGGAUAAGUAAAUGCGCAGACGUAUAACAAGGAGCCACAUUUCACAAUCUCUUCAAUUGCUAAUUUGCUCUCUAAAGAGCUAGUGUUUUUUUUUUUACUGGAAUCUUCAUUUGGAUGCCUCAUGUACCAUUGCUAAUAAUUAUUGCUUUCUUUGUUAGAAGUGAAUUUUCAACCCCCA